rnacentral:rRNA from 1 species
AAAGUUGUUGCGGUUAAAAAGCUCGUAGUUGGAUUUCGGCAUGCGGCGCGGCCGUCCGCCUAACGGCGGUCACGGGCCGCGUACCCGCUUGCCGCUAGCCGGUUUUGCCUUCCGGGGGUGCCCUUUGCUGGGCUGCCCUCGGCGGCCGGUGAGUUUACUUUGAGAAAAUUAGAGUGUUCAAAGCAGGCUGCUGACGCCUGAACGGUGGUGCAUGGAAUAAUGGAAUAGGACCUCGGUUCUAUUUUGUUGGCUUUCGGAAACCCCGAGGUAAUGAUUAAGCGGAACAGGCGGGGGCAUUCGUACUACGGAGCCAGAGGUGAAAUUCUUAGACCUCCGUAAGACGAACUACUGCGAAAGCAUCUGCCAAGGAUGUUUUCAUUAAUCAAGAGCGAAAGUCAGAGGUUCGAAGACGAUCAGAUACCGUCCUAGUUCUGACCAUAAACGAUGUCGACUAGCGGUGCGCCGGCGUCGUAUCACUUGACCCGGCGUGCGGCUGCUCUCGGGAAACCAAAGUCUUUGGAUUCCGGGGGAAGUAUGGUUGCAAAGCUGAAACUUAAAGGAAUUGACGGAAGGGCACCACCAGAUGUGGAGCCUGCGGCUUAAUUUGACUCAACGCGGGGAACCUUACCAGGUCCGGACAUUUGCAAGGAUUGACAGUCUGAUAGCUCUUUCUUGAUUCAAUGGGUGGUGGUGCAUGGCCGUUCUUAGUUCGUGGAGCGAUCUGUCUGGUUAAUUCCGAUAACGAACGAGACUCCGACCUACUAAUCAAGCUAGCCGGCCCUACCUAGAGCCGGUGCAGCACUUAUAGCUUCUUAGAGGAACCGGCGGCGUCUAGUCGCACCAAGAGGAGCAAUAACAGGUCUGUGAUGCCCUUAGAUGUCCUGGACUGCACGCGCGCUACAAUGAAGCAAUCAGCGGGACCAUUCGCCUAGCCCGAGAGGGCCGGGUAAACCGAUGAACCUGCUUCGUGGUUGGGACUGACGCGUGCAAUUCUCGUCACGAACGAGGAAUAUCCAGUAAGCGCGGGUCAGCAGCCGGCGUUGAUUACGUCCCUGCCCUUUGUACACACCGCCCGUCGCUACUACCGAUUGAGUGGCUCAGUGAGGCUCUCGGAUCGGCGUCGRCCCGCUGCGUGGCUCGAGCUCUUCUCGGCGCAAGUCGAGUCGCGCUCGUCCUGCUGCCAGAGGGCCAGCGACGCUGAAAAGAAAGCCGAACUGAGUCGCUUAGAGGAAGUAAAAGUCGUAACAAGGUUUCCGUAGGUGA